ACAGGCUCCAGGCUCUGAGCCAUCAGCCCAGAGCCCGACGCGGGGCUCGAACUCACAGACCGCGAGAUCGUGACCUGGCUGAAGUCGGACGCUUAACCGACUGCGCCACCCAGGCGCCCCAUUGGCUUUUGAAAAUAAUGCAGCAAUGAACAUGAAGAGGGAGAGAAACAAAGUGUUUGCACUCAUGCUCAUGCAAGGGAGUGGUGAGAGGCAGAGAGAGAGAGGGAGAGAGAAUGAUGUGGGGCUCAGUCUCAUGAACUGUGAGAUCAUGACCUCAGCUGAAAUCAAGAGUCUGAUGCUCAACCUACUGAGCUACCUAAGCGCCCCAGGUGAGCCCUUAUUCUAAUAUAAUGGGUAUUCUUAUAAUAUGCUGGCCAUAUAAAGACAGAGGCACAGGGAGAAGGCUAUGUGACCAUGAAGGCAGAGAUUGGAGUUAGGCAGCUGCAAACCAAGAAAAGCUGAAGAUUUUCAGGAAACCGCUGGAAGAUAGGAAGACACAAGGAAGGAUUCUCUGUACAGGUUUCAAAGGAAUCCUGUAACACCCGGAUUUUAGAAUUUUCGCCACCUGAAAUAUGAGACAAUAAAUUUGUUAUUUUAAGUCA